GAUGAACGCUGGCGGCGUGCUUAACACAUGCAAGUCGAACGGAAAGGCCCAAGCUUGCCUGGGUACUCGAGUGGCGAACGGGUGAGUAACACGUGGGUGAUCUGCCCUGCACUUCGGGAUAAGCCUGGGAAACUGGGUCUAAUACCGGAUAGGACCACUUCUUGGAUGUUGUGGUGGAAAGUUUUUUCGGUGUGGGAUGAGCUCGCGGCCUAUCAGCUUGUUGGUGGGGUAAUGGCCUACCAAGGCGUCGACGGGUAGCCGGCCUGAGAGGGUGUACAGCCACAUUGGGACUGAGAUACGGCCCAGACUCCUACGGGAGGCAGCAGGGGGGAAUAUUGCACAAUGGGCGCAAGCCUGAUGCAGCGACGCCGCGGGGGGGAGGACGGCCUUCGGGUUGUAAACUCCUUUCGCUAGGGACGAAGCGUUUUGUGACGGUACCUGGAGAAGAAGCACCGGCUAACUACGUG
rnacentral:rRNA from 1 species